rnacentral:misc_RNA from 1 species
GAUGAAGAACGUAGCGAAAUGCGAUAAGUAAUGUGAAUUGCAGAAUUCAGUGAAUCAUCGAGUCUUUGAACGCACAUUGCGCCCCCUGGUAUUCCGGGGGGCAUGCCUGUCCGAGCGUCAUUGCUGCCCUCUAGCACGGCUUGUGUGUUGGGCCGUCGUCCCCCUCCUAGGGGACGGGCCCGAAAGGCAGCGGCGGCACCGCGUCCGGUCCUCGAGCGUAUGGGGCUUCGUCACCCGCUCCGUAGGCCCGGCCGGCGCUUGCCGACGACCAUCAAUCUCUUUCUCCAGGUUGACCUCGGAUCAGGUAGGGAUACCCGCUGAACUUAAGCAUAUCAAUAAGCGGAGGA